rnacentral:rRNA from 1 species
CUCGAAAUUAUAGUAGCGAAGUCCGGAUACAUGCUGUCAAGAAAAGCCGCUAUUGCGCCAUAUGUACCCGUACCGUAAACCGACACAGGUGGAUGAGGAGAGAAUCCUAAGGCCGGCGGGAGAAGUGUUGUUAAGGAACUCGGCAAAAUGGCCCCGUAACUUCGGGAGAAGGGGCGCCCAGAAAUGGGCCGCAGAGAAAAGGCUCAAGCAACUGUUUAGCAAAAACACAGGUCUAUGCGAAACCGAAAGGUGAGGUAUAUGGGCUGACGCCUGCCCGGUGCUGGAAGGUUAAGGGGAGAGGUUAGCCGCAAGGCGAAGCUUUGAACUUAAGCCCCAGUAAACGGCGGCCGUAACAAUAACGGUCCUAAGGUAGCGAAAUUCCUUGUCGGGUAAGUUCCGACCCGCACGAAAGGCGUAAUGAUUUGAGCACUGUCUCGACAACACACCCGGUGAAAUUGAAAUACCAGUGAAGAUGCUGGUUACCUGCGCCAGGACGGAAAGACCCCAUGGAGCUUUACUCUAGUUUGAUACUGGGACCCGGUAUGACAUGUACAGGAUAGGUGGGAGGCAGAGAAUUAAUGACGCCAGUCAUUAAGGAGCCGCUGUUGGGAUACCACCCUUGUGAUGCCAGGUUUCUAACGAGCUGCCGUGAACCGGCAGGCGGACAAUGUCAGGCGGGGAGUUUGACUGGGGCGGUCGCCUCCGAAAGGGUAUCGGAGGCGCUCAAAGGUUCCCUCAGAAUGGUUGGAAACCAUUCGGAGAGUGCAAAGGCAGAAGGGAGCCUGACUGCGACACCGACGGGUGGAGCAGGUACGAAAGUAGGACUUAGUGAUCCGGUGGUAUAAAGUGGGAUUGCCAUCGCUCAACGGAUAAAAGCUACCCUGGGAUAACAGGCUUAUCACUCCCAAGAGUUCACAUCGACGGAGUGGUUUGGCACCUCGAUGUCGGCUCAUCGCAUCCUGGGGCUGGAGUAGGUCCCAAGGGUUGGGCUGUUCGCCCAUUAAAGCGGUACGCGAGCUGGGUUCAGAACGUCGUGAGACAGUUCGGUCCCUAUCCGGCGCGGGCGUAAGAGAUUUGAGAGGAGCUGUCCUUAGUACGAGAGGACCGGGAUGGACGGACCACUGGUGUAUCUGUUGCACCACCAGGUGCACGGCAGAGUAGCCAAGUCCGGACGGGAUAAACGCUGAAGGCAUCUAAGCGUGAAGCCCCCCUCAAGAUGAGAUCUCUCAUUCGAAAGAAGUAAGACCCCUUGAAGACGACGAGGUAGAUAGGGCAGGGGUGGAAGGGCAGUAAUGUCCGGAGCUGACUGUUACUAAUCGGUCGAGGGCUUGACCAG